rnacentral:rRNA from 1 species
GGUUAAGCGACUAAGCGUACACGGUGGAUGCCCUGGCAGUCAGAGGCGAUGAAGGACGUGCUAAUCUGCGAUAAGCGUCGGUGAGGUGAUAUGAACCGUUAUAACCGGCGAUUUCCGAAUGGGGAAACCCAGUGUGUUUCGACACACUAUCAUUAACUGAAUCCAUAGGUUAAUGAGGCGAACCGGGGGAACUGAAACAUCUAAGUACCCCGAGGAAAAGAAAUCAACCGAGAUUCCCCCAGUAGCGGCGAGCGAACGGGGAGGAGCCCAGAGCCUGAAUCAGUGUGUGUGUUAGUGGAAGCGUCUGGAAAGGCGUGCGAUACAGGGUGACAGCCCCGUACACAAAAAUGCACAUAUUGUGAGCUCGAUGAGUAGGGCGGGACACGUGGUAUCCUGUCUGAAUAUGGGGGGACCAUCCUCCAAGGCUAAAUACUCCUGACUGACCGAUAGUGAACCAGUACCGUGAGGGAAAGGCGAAAAGAACCCCGGCGAGGGGAGUGAAAAAGAACCUGAAACCGUGUACGUACAAGCAGUGGGAGCCUCUUUAUGGGGUGACUGCGUACCUUUUGUAUAAUGGGUCAGCGACUUAUAUUCUGUAGCAAGGUUAACCGAAUAGGGGAGCCGAAGGGAAACCGAGUCUUAACUGGGCGUUAAGUUGCAGGGUAUAGACCCGAAACCCGGUGAUCUAGCCAUGGGCAGGUUGAAGGUUGGGUAACACUAACUGGAGGACCGAACCGACUAAUGUUGAAAAAUUAGCGGAUGACUUGUGGCUGGGGGUGAAAGGCCAAUCAAACCGGGAGAUAGCUGGUUCUCCCCGAAAGCUAUUUAGGUAGCGCCUCGUGAAUUCAUCUCCGGGGGUAGAGCACUGUUUCGGCAAGGGGGUCAUCCCGACUUACCAACCCGAUGCAAACUGCGAAUACCGGAGAAUGUUAUCACGGGAGACACACGGCGGGUGCUAACGUCCGUCGUGAAGAGGGAAACAACCCAGACCGCCAGCUAAGGUCCCAAAGUCAUGGUUAAGUGGGAAACGAUGUGGGAAGGCCCAGACAGCCAGGAUGUUGGCUUAGAAGCAGCCAUCAUUUAAAGAAAGCGUAAUAGCUCACUGGUCGAGUCGGCCUGCGCGGAAGAUGUAACGGGGCUAAACCAUGCACCGAAGCUGCGGCAGCGACACUAUGUGUUGUUGGGUAGGGGAGCGUUCUGUAAGCCUGUGAAGGUGGCCUGUGAGGGUUGCUGGAGGUAUCAGAAGUGCGAAUGCUGACAUAAGUAACGAUAAAGCGGGUGAAAAGCCCGCUCGCCGGAAGACCAAGGGUUCCUGUCCAACGUUAAUCGGGGCAGGGUGAGUCGACCCCUAAGGCGAGGCCGAAAGGCGUAGUCGAUGGGAAACAGGUUAAUAUUCCUGUACUUGGUGUUACUGCGAAGGGGGGACGGAGAAGGCUAUGUUGGCCGGGCGACGGUUGUCCCGGUUUAAGCGUGUAGGCUGGUUUUCCAGGCAAAUCCGGAAAACCAAGGCUGAGGCGUGAUGACGAGGCACUACGGUGCUGAAGCGACAAAUGCCCUGCUUCCAGGAAAAGCCUCUAAGCAUCAGGUAACAUCAAAUCGUACCCCAAACCGACACAGGUGGUCAGGUAGAGAAUACCAAGGCGCUUGAGAGAACUCGGGUGAAGGAACUAGGCAAAAUGGUGCCGUAACUUCGGGAGAAGGCACGCUGAUAUGUAGGUGAAGCGACUUGCUCGUGGAGCUGAAAUCAGUCGAAGAUACCAGCUGGCUGCAACUGUUUAUUAAAAACACAGCACUGUGCAAACACGAAAGUGGACGUAUACGGUGUGACGCCUGCCCGGUGCCGGAAGGUUAAUUGAUGGGGUUAGCGGUAACGCGAAGCUCUUGAUCGAAGCCCCGGUAAACGGCGGCCGUAACUAUAACGGUCCUAAGGUAGCGAAAUUCCUUGUCGGGUAAGUUCCGACCUGCACGAAUGGCGUAAUGAUGGCCAGGCUGUCUCCACCCGAGACUCAGUGAAAUUGAACUCGCUGUGAAGAUGCAGUGUACCCGCGGCAAGACGGAAAGACCCCGUGAACCUUUACUAUAGCUUGACACUGAACAUUGAGCCUUGAUGUGUAGGAUAGGUGGGAGGCUUUGAAGUGUGGACGCCAGUCUGCAUGGAGCCGACCUUGAAAUACCACCCUUUAAUGUUUGAUGUUCUAACGUUGGCCCGUAAUCCGGGUUGCGGACAGUGUCUGGUGGGUAGUUUGACUGGGGCGGUCUCCUCCUAAAGAGUAACGGAGGAGCACGAAGGUUGGCUAAUCCUGGUCGGACAUCAGGAGGUUAGUGCAAUGGCAUAAGCCAGCUUGACUGCGAGCGUGACGGCGCGAGCAGGUGCGAAAGCAGGUCAUAGUGAUCCGGUGGUUCUGAAUGGAAGGGCCAUCGCUCAACGGAUAAAAGGUACUCCGGGGAUAACAGGCUGAUACCGCCCAAGAGUUCAUAUCGACGGCGGUGUUUGGCACCUCGAUGUCGGCUCAUCACAUCCUGGGGCUGAAGUAGGUCCCAAGGGUAUGGCUGUUCGCCAUUUAAAGUGGUACGCGAGCUGGGUUUAGAACGUCGUGAGACAGUUCGGUCCCUAUCUGCCGUGGGCGCUGGAGAACUGAGGGGGGCUGCUCCUAGUACGAGAGGACCGGAGUGGACGCAUCACUGGUGUUCGGGUUGUCAUGCCAAUGGCACUGCCCGGUAGCUAAAUGCGGAAGAGAUAAGUGCUGAAAGCAUCUAAGCACGAAACUUGCCCCGAGAUGAGUUCUCCCUGACUCCUUGAGAGUCCUGAAGGAACGUUGAAGACGACGACGUUGAUAGGCCGGGUGUGUAAGCGCAGCGAUGCGUUGAGCUAACCGGUACUAAUGAACCGUGAGGCUUAACCUU